GGGCGAAUGGUUUAGUGGUAUAAUACUCCCUUAGCAUGUUCUCUUCGUUGAGCUCGUUCUUGGGAGUGGUCCAGGGUUCGAUUCCCUGUUCGUCCA